rnacentral:rRNA from 1 species
UACGUAGGGGGCUAGCGUUGUCCGGAUUUAUUGGGCGUAAAGAGCGUGUAGGCGGCCAGGUAGGUCUGCUGUGAAAACUCGAGGCUCAACCUCGAGACGUCGGCGGAAACCAUCUGGCUAGAGUCCGGAAGAGGAGAGUGGAAUUCCUGGUGUAGCGGUGAAAUGCGCAGAUAUCAGGAGGAACACCAGCGGCGAAGGCGGCGCUCUGGGCCGGUACUGACGCUGAGACGCGAAAGCGUGGGGAGCGAACAGG